rnacentral:rRNA from 1 species
AACGAACGCUGGCGGCAUGCCUAACACAUGCAAGUCGAACGAGACCUUCGGGUCUAGUGGCGCACGGGUGCGUAACGCGUGGGAACCUGCCCUUAGGUUCGGAAUAACUCCCCGAAAGGGGUGCUAAUACCGGAUAAUGUCUUCGGACCAAAGAUUUAUCGCCUUUGGAUGGGCCCGCGUUGGAUUAGCUAGUUGGUAGGGUAAAAGCCUACCAAGGCGACGAUCCAUAGCUGGUCUGAGAGGAUGAUCAGCCACACUGGGACUGAGACACGGCCCAGACUCUUGGGGGAGGAGGGAGGGGGGAAUAUGGGAAAGGGGGGGAAAGCAUGAUGAACCAAGGCGGGGAGAGGGAUGAGGGCAUUGGGGUUGAAACGCUUUUUAACCGGGGAAGAUAAUGACGGUACCGGAAGAAUAAGCGCGGGCUAACCCCGUG